rnacentral:rRNA from 1 species
AUACGUAGGGGGCGAGCGUUAUCCGGAUUUAUUGGGCGUAAAGCGCGCGCAGGCGGUUAAGUAAGUCGGAUGUGAAAGGCUACGGCUCAACCGUAGAGCGGCAUCCGAAACUGCUUGACUUGAGUGCAGGAGAGGAGAGCGGAAUUCCCGGUGUAGCGGUGGAAUGCGUAGAGAUCGGGAGGAACACCAGUGGCGAAGGCGGCUCUCUGGACUGUAACUGACGCUGAGGCGCGAAAGCGUGGGGAGCAAACAGGAUUAGAUGCCCUGGUAGUCCACGCCGUAAACGAUGAGUGCUAGGUGUUGAGGGGUAUCCCCUCAGUGCCGCAGGUAACCCAGUAAGCACUCCGCCUGGGGAGUACGGUCGCAAGACUGAA